rnacentral:rRNA from 2 species
UAAUACAUGCAAGUCGAACGAGUUCUGAUUAUUGAAAGGUGCUUGCAUCUUGAUUUAAUUUUGAACGAGUGGCGGACGGGUGAGUAACACGUGGGUAACCUGCCCUUAAGUGGGGGAUAACAUUUGGAAACAGAUGCUAAUACCGCAUAAAUCCAAGAACCGCAUGGUUCUUGGCUGAAAGAUGGCGUAAGCUAUCGCUUUUGGAUGGACCCGCGGCGUAUUAGCUAGUUGGUGAGGUAACGGCUCACCAAGGCAAUGAUACGUAGCCGAACUGAGAGGUUGAUCGGCCACAUUGGGACUGAGACACGGCCCAAACUCCUACGGGAGGCAGCAGUAGGGAAUCUUCCACAAUGGACGCAAGUCUGAUGGAGCAACGCCGCGUGAGUGAAGAAGGCUUUCGGGUCGUAAAACUCUGUUGUUGGAGAAGAAUGGUCGGCAGAGUAACUGUUGUCGGCGUGACGGUAUCCAACCAGAAAGCCACGGCUAACUACGUGCCAGCAGCCGCGGUAAUACGUAGGUGGCAAGCGUUAUCCGGAUUUAUUGGGCGUAAAGCGAGCGCAGGCGGUUUUUUAAGUCUGAUGUGAAAGCCCUCGGCUUAACCGAGGAAGUGCAUCGGAAACUGGGAAACUUGAGUGCAGAAGAGGACAGUGGAACUCCAUGUGUAGCGGUGAAAUGCGUAGAUAUAUGGAAGAACACCAGUGGCGAAGGCGGCUGUCUGGUCUGUAACUGACGCUGAGGCUCGAAAGCAUGGGUAGCGAACAGGAUUAGAUACCCUGGUAGUCCAUGCCGUAAACGAUGAAUGCUAGGUGUUGGAGGGUUUCCGCCCUUCAGUGCCGCAGCUAACGCAUUAAGCAUUCCGCCUGGGGAGUACGACCGCAAGGUUGAAACUCAAAGGAAUUGACGGGGGCCCGCACAAGCGGUGGAGCAUGUGGUUUAAUUCGAAGCAACGCGAAGAACCUUACCAGGUCUUGACAUCUUUUGAUCACCUGAGAGAUCAGGUUUCCCCUUCGGGGGCAAAAUGACAGGUGGUGCAUGGUUGUCGUCAGCUCGUGUCGUGAGAUGUUGGGUUAAGUCCCGCAACGAGCGCAACCCUUAUGACUAGUUGCCAGCAUUUAGUUGGGCACUCUAGUAAGACUGCCGGUGACAAACCGGAGGAAGGUGGGGAUGACGUCAAAUCAUCAUGCCCCUUAUGACCUGGGCUACACACGUGCUACAAUGGAUGGUACAACGAGUUGCGAGACCGCGAGGUCAAGCUAAUCUCUUAAAGCCAUUCUCAGUUCGGACUGUAGGCUGCAACUCGCCUACACGAAGUCGGAAUCGCUAGUAAUCGCGGAUCAGCACGCCGCGGUGAAUACGUUCCCGGGCCUUGUACACACCGCCCGUCACACCAUGAGAGUUUGUAACACCCGAAGCCGGUGGCGUAACCCUUUUAGGGAGCGAGCCGUCUAAGGUGGGACAAAUGAUUAGGGUGAAGUCGUAA